CAGAGAGGUGGCAAAGUUUGCAGACAAUACAAAAUUAAACAAGAUCAUUAAGUCUAAAGCUGACUUUGAAGAGUUACAGAGGGAUCUCACAAAACAGGAUGAUUGGGCAACAAAAUGGCAGAUGAAAUUCAUUGUUGAU